UACGUAGGGUGCGAGCGUUAAUCGGAAUUACUGGGCGUAAAGCGCGCGUAGGUGGUUUGUUAAGUUGGAUGUGAAAUCCCCGGGCUCAACCUGGGAACUGCAUUCAAAACUGACAAGCUAGAGUAUGGUAGAGGGUGGUGGAAUUUCCUGUGUAGCGGUGAAAUGCGUAGAUAUAGGAAGGAACACCAGUGGCGAAGGCGACCACCUGGACUGAUACUGACACUGAGGUGCGAAAGCGUGGGGAGCAAACAGG
rnacentral:rRNA from 1 species